rnacentral:lncRNA from 1 species
AAGAACAGCCAGGUCUAGUUCUCCAAGGGGGAAUGAGUGGCUUUGGAAAUUCUUCCUCUUACCUUGUUUUGUCCUCUUCGGCACGUUCGCUGCUCACAUCCAAUGCUGCUGCAACGACAAGCAAAAAAACAGAAUCAUGACAGCCACCUGACACCCGAGGCCCUGCCGCCAGCCUGCUGGGGCCGCCUGAGGUACCAGGGUCCAGGCAUUAUUUUUCACUCCCUGUGCUCCUGGCAGAGGAGGAAGGGCCUUACCUGCCAUUGUUCCACCUGACCGAAGAUGAGACUAAACCAGGGGAAAUCCUGCUCCCAGGAAAAAGGACUGGGAGAGAUGAAUAAUUAAUAAUGCCCCAGAACUUGAAGCGGAACGGAAGUUCCAUCUGCAGCUUCCUAAUCACAGCAUUAGCAACCUCAGAUCUGAUCCUGCUCUUGAUACAGUGCGUCCAAGAGAGUGCUUCAAGCCAAGAGAAGAUGGGUUUGUGGUCGUGAGAAAUGAAGGAGCCCUCCUAGGAUGGGAAGAGACCACAUCUGGAAUGCACAGUGCUUGGCAUGGGAAAGGUACGCUCACAAUAGUCAUGGUUAGGGUAUCCGCAUAAUCUUAAAGUGAUCCCCACAUAUUAUUAGUUUCUUAUUAGUUGUGAGGGAGAAAAAAACCAAAACGGUAAUGAGACCAAGUAGAAACCGUGUAACACUUUUUGA